ACUCCUACGGGAGGCAGCAGUGGGGAAUAUUGCACAAUGGGCGCAAGCCUGAUGCAGCCAUGCCGCGUGUGUGAAGAAGGCCUUCGGUUGUAAAGCACUUUCAGUCGUGAGGAAGGUAGUGUAGUUAAUAGCUGCAUUAUUUGACGUUAGCGACAGAAGAAGCACCGGCUAACUCCGUGCCAGCAGCCGCGGUAAUACGGAGGGUGCGAGCGUUAAUCGGAAUUACUGGGCGUAAAGCGCAUGCAGGUGGUUUGUUAAGUCAGAUGUGAAAGCCCGGGGCUCAACCUCGGAAUAGCAUUUGAAACUGGCAGACUAGAGUACUGUAGAGGGGGUAGGAAUUUCAGGUGUAGCGGUGAAAUGCGUAGAGAUCUGAAGGAAUACCGGUGGCGAAGGCGGCCCCCUGGACAGAUACUGACACUCAGAUGCGAAAGCGUGGGGAGCAAACAGGAUUAGAU
rnacentral:rRNA from 1 species